rnacentral:rRNA from 1 species
GAUGAACGCUGGCGGCGUGCCUAAUACAUGCAAGUCGAGCGAACGGACGAGAAGCUUGCUUCUCUGAUGUUAGCGGCGGACGGGUGAGUAACACGUGGAUAACCUACCUAUAAGACUGGGAUAACUUCGGGAAACCGGAGCUAAUACCGGAUAAUAUUUUGAACCGCAUGGUUCAAAAGUGAAAGACGGUCUUGCUGUCACUUAUAGAUGGAUCCGCGCUGCAUUAGCUAGUUGGUAAGGUAACGGCUUACCAAGGCAACGAUGCAUAGCCGACCUGAGAGGGUGAUCGGCCACACUGGAACUGAGACACGGUCCAGACUCCUACGGGAGGCAGCAGUAGGGAAUCUUCCGCAAUGGGCGAAAGCCUGACGGAGCAACGCCGCGUGAGUGAUGAAGGUCUUCGGAUCGUAAAACUCUGUUAUUAGGGAAGAACAUAUGUGUAAGUAACUGUGCACAUCUUGACGGUACCUAAUCAGAAAGCCACGGCUAACUACGUGCCAGCAGCCGCGGUAAUACGUAGGUGGCAAGCGUUAUCCGGAAUUAUUGGGCGUAAAGCGCGCGUAGGCGGUUUUUUAGUCUGAUGUGAAAGCCCACGGCUCAACCGUGGAGGGUCAUUGGAAACUGGAAAACUUGAGUGCAGAAGAGGAAAGUGGAAUUCCAUGUGUAGCGGUGAAAUGCGCAGAGAUAUGGAGGAACACCAGUGGCGAAGGCGACUUUCUGGUCUGUAACUGACGCUGAUGUGCGAAAGCGUGGGGAUCAAACAGGAUUAGAUACCCUGGUAGUCCACGCCGUAAACGAUGAGUGCUAAGUGUUAGGGGGUUUCCGCCCCUUAGUGCUGCAGCUAACGCAUUAAGCACUCCGCCUGGGGAGUACGACCGCAAGGUUGAAACUCAAAGGAAUUGACGGGGACCCGCACAAGCGGUGGAGCAUGUGGUUUAAUUCGAAGCAACGCGAAGAACCUUACCAAAUCUUGACAUCCUUUGACAACUCUAGAGAUAGAGCUUUCCCCUUCGGGGGACAAAGUGACAGGUGGUGCAUGGUUGUCGUCAGCUCGUGUCGUGAGAUGUUGGGUUAAGUCCCGCAACGAGCGCAACCCUUAAGCUUAGUUGCCAUCAUUAAGUUGGGCACUCUAAGUUGACUGCCGGUGACAAACCGGAGGAAGGUGGGGAUGACGUCAAAUCAUCAUGCCCCUUAUGAUUUGGGCUACACACGUGCUACAAUGGACAAUACAAAGGGCAGCGAAACCGUGAGGUCAAGCAAAUCCCAUAAAGUUGUCCUCAGUUCGGAUUGUAGUCUGCAACUCGACUACAUGAAGCUGGAAUCGCUAGUAAUCGUAGAUCAGCAUGCUACGGUGAAUACGUUCCCGGGUCU